UGGGGAAUAUUGCACAAUGGGCGCAAGCCUGAUGCAGCGACGCCGCGUGAGGGAUGACGGCCUUCGGGUUGUAAACCUCUUUCAGCAGGGACGAAGCGCAAGUGACGGUACCUGCAGAAGAAGCACCGGCCAACUACGUGCCAGCAGCCGCGGUAAUACGUAGGGUGCGAGCGUUGUCCGGAAUUACUGGGCGUAAAGAGCUCGUAGGCGGUUUGUCGCGUCGUCUGUGAAAUCCCGCAGCUCAACUGCGGGCUUGCAGGCGAUACGGGCAGACUCGAGUACUGCAGGGGAGACUGGAAUUCCUGGUGUAGCGGUGAAAUGCGCAGAUAUCAGGAGGAACACCGGUGGCGAAGGCGGGUCUCUGGGCAGUAACUGACGCUGAGGAGCGAAAGCGUGGGUAGCGAACAGG
rnacentral:rRNA from 1 species